rnacentral:rRNA from 1 species
UACGUAGGGCGCAAGCGUUUGUCCGGAAUUAUUGGGCGUAAAGGGCUCGUAGGUGGCCAACUAAGUCAGACGUGAAAUCCCUCGGCUUAACCGGGGAACUGCGUCUGAUACUGGAUGGCUUGAGUUUGGGAGAGGGACGCGGAAUUCCAGGUGUAGCGGUGAAAUGCGUAGAUAUCUGGAGGAACACCGGUGGCGAAGGCGGCGUCCCGUCGAA